ensembl:lncRNA
AAGUCAGGCCUGUUGGUCAAUCCUCGGUACCCCGCGAUCGGGUUCCGUGACCGAGCGAUCCGCUGCAACUCUAAUCCAGCUGGGAUUCUUUAGCGGGUUUGAACUGCCACUUUGUACUGCGAGUACAAGCGCUGCGCGUAGAACUGCAGCCUGGCGCGCCCCGAGUGAGGGCAUCAGACGCCGCUCCAGGUCGCGGCUCCCGGGAGGACUUGGCUCAGCGGGUCCAGGGGCUGCGGAGUGAGCCCGGGAGCCGGAAGGGAGCGGACGUGCGCAGAUGGCGGGGCCCGCCUGAGGCCCUGAUCCCGACUUCGGGCCCAAACCCUGACCCCCGACUCCCGCCUCGGAUCCAGACUCUGAGUCCGACUCCCACCUAGACCCGGGCCCCUGACUCCUACCCCGCCGCAGUCUUGGCGCGAGGAGGAUGCUGCGGAGGGGAAGUUUCGCUCUUCCGGGCUCUGGCCGCAGAGCCUGCCCGGCUGGUGCCCCAAGGGCCCUGUGUACGGAGAGGAAAAGGAAAGGGCUUAGGGUAAGAGCAGGGACUUCAGGGUAGCUGAGCCAGCUCCCGGGCGCGAGCAGCCGGCAGUCUUGUCCUACAGAUGCUUAAUUUUGAAGAGAGGGCCUGGGUUCGAUCCAAGAUCCUAGAUCCUGAUGAAACUAGAAGUUGGCAUCUGCAACUAAAGAUUCUGCAUGAUGCAACUACAAAAAAAAAAAGGAUUCCACAUGUCACAACAAAGAUCAAACAAUCUGCGUGCCACUGCAAGUAAGACCUGGAGCAGCCAAAUAAAUAUUUAUUGCAAGAAAGGGGAAGACUCCAUUAUUACCAGCAGAAAACCUGUCCAGGAGUUUGCACAUGACUAGGUAGCUAUGUGUCCCUCAGUGGUUCUCAGUAUGUGUAUGUAGGAGGGCCUGGAAAGGGCAGGUCUGCGUUACCUCUCAGAGGUCAACAGCACAUGCCAAAUUCAUUAAAGUAACCACUUGCUCUGUUGAUUGUAUUAGCUACCUAUUGCUAUGUAACAGGUUACUCUAAACUCAGCAAGUUAGAGCAACCAGUAUUCAAGGCCUCACCACUCCUGAGUGUUUGGCUGGCUCUGGCUCAGGCGUCUCACCAAGACGCAGUGCACAUCACACCCAGAGAAGCAGUCGUUUGAAACUUGCCAAGCUGCCAAGGGGAUGCCCUUGCCUGGCUCCUGGCCGGCCGGUGGAAGCUGCUCACCAUGUGACUCUCCACGGGCUUUUCAGGUGACAUGGUGCCAUGUGGCCUGGUCAACCCAAGGGUGUGAAGUCCAGGGAGCAACGGUCACUGAGGGCCAGCUUGGAGGCUGCUGCCCGCAGUAAUGACUGGAGAUGCCUGCUGUUCAUAUCUGCUUGCAAAGCCUGACCACUGGGUUCCUCACUGCCCCCAUUGGUGGCCCUAGCCCUUUGUCACACUAGUCACCACACUGGUUAGUUCAUGGACAUUCCCCACGUCCUUCCUUAGGACUUGUAACCUUUUUUUUGGCUGAGACACAUGGCUUGUGGGA